GAAUGUAUUUGUCAAGUGAUGAGCAUGGACAGUUUUACAAAGAUUUUUUCUCUGCUGCUGAAUUACGUGACAUAUGUGUGAAAUGACUUUUCUAGCUGAAGUAAUACAAAAACACAGAACUGUAUGCAUUUGUAUGAACUAAACGAUAUUUUCAGAUUGAGUACUGUACAAUGUACUUAGCGAGCGAGUUACAUUCUGACAAUGCGAAUGUUGCAGUGGUCUGUUACAAAGAACUAGACAUUCCAAAAGUACCAAGUCAUGUUAGAAACAUUGAUCUGUGACGUUUAUAUAAAAUAUGUUAUGCUUUUUGACAACUUCUUCUUUUUAGCUGGUAGUAUUUUUACUUCUUGACGCAAGUCAAUCAGUUACAUUUUUAAGCAUAUUGUAAAUAAUUGCAUAAAAUAAGUUACUUCAAUAUUUAACAAUCUUUCUAUUUCAAUAAUUUUAUUUAUGACCUUGUCUUAUGGUUCUGCUACAGCAGUGAUGCAAUGUUGAUUCUACCAUAUCAAGUUAAUGAUUGUAAGAUGAUGAUUUUUAUCUCUUGUCAUUAAGCAAUACUGAAGCUCAAGAGAAGGCAUUUGCUUCAUUUUCAGUUAAUAAAUCAUUUCUUUUGCCUACUAUUGAACCAUUAAAGGAUAAAUCUUUUUUUAUGUUGCAUCUUAGAGUAAGUUACGUCAUUAUUAGUUGCUCUAUAAGAUAUGUCCUUUGAAUGUUGUAUUUAUUUUGUUGUUGUGAUUAACUGUGUAUAGCCAUACGAUUCUGACUCCAUAAGAUUAUGGUUCCAUACGAUUCUGACGCCAUAAGACUAUGACUCCAUUCAAUUUUGACUCCAAUCAAUACUGACCCCACACACAAAAAGGUUGACAUUUACCACCUGAAGAUAUUGACCUUGUGAUGCUCUAUUUUCUAUCUGAUUAUCAUCACAUAAGCAUUAUUAUGACCUUUAAACAUGAAAUAAUUAUGUUGUGAUAAUAAGGAAGUACUGUUGAUAAUCAUAGACCUAUUACUCAAUGAUUGAAUAUGUUAUGAGAACUAAACUGAAUAUGUAAUCAUAAGAAAUCCCUUGCAAAACUUAUAUUGACUGAAGCUCAAGUCACUUAUUCUGUAUAAGAAGGAACUGCAUGCGUACCCAUAUAAAUUUCUCUCUUAAGUAUGUAGCACUGAAACUGGGUUAUAUGAACAUAUUUGGAUUGUUUAUCUGUAAUUUUACUGUGUAUGUGAAUGUAUCUUCGAGCAGUGCUAAUGUGCCAUUGUAUGAUAAUUUAAAUAGCAUGUAAUUACUAUGUAUAUAUCAGCUCUGGGAUCUAUGAAGAAUUCUAAAAAUUUUUAAACACUAUGUCACUGUUAACAUCUUUGGACAAAUCUGUAUGUCAUUCAGUGGUGUUACUUGUCACACAUUUUGCAUUUUCUUGAUCAAAACAUGUAUUUUAUAGUAUGAUGUGUACUGUACCAUCAGAAAAUGAAUUUAUAUAGAACGAGUUUGCCACCAUGUGAUUGGCCUAAACUUCAUAAUUGCAACUUCACUUCAAGAAACUAGCCACACAUAUGUAAUUAUCUGUGAUCAUAUAUAUUUUGAGUCAUUUAAUGAGCACUGAGCUUAUGUGCUUUUUCACAUAAUGUUGACCUUUAAAUCCAAGUGUAUAUAGCUUACAGUUAUUCAUUUAUUCACUAUGAUUCGUUUCUGUGAUUGUGUGAUAUAUGAGACUUGAUCUACUAUGUCAAUUAUGAGAACCUGUUUUCUCAAAGGGAUACAAAGUCAAUGAUUUUAUGAUCUUCAUGAAUUCUUUGGUUCUUAACAAGAUGUACUUGAGUCUUAUGCCAUUACUACUGAUUCUGUAGAGUUUAUUUAUCUGAAUAUGAAAAGGAAUGACACACUAAAACGUUUUGGUGUGGUUGUCAGUGGACAUAAUGUAUCUAAUGAAUCUCUGAGUCCUGAUACUUGAAUAUUGAUUUUCUCUUUCUUUGCACUAUUUACAGUUCUGCGUAAUAUUUGUAACUACACAACUGAAAGAUAGUUACACUCUUGGAGGACUAUAAAUAACAUUUUGCUAUACUCUCAAAUGAAGCACCAUCAAUGUCAGGAGAAAUGAGUACUUAACAAGCACAAGAUGAUACUUGGAUAUUAUUUUUUCUUGACUACAUUGUACAUCUUAUCAGUUUCCUACCAUGGACAUAACUUACGUAAACUUAUGCUUAUGUUUAUAUAUUCUACCUCUUUUGUAAAAUAUCUGUUGCUAUUUUUCUCAGUUUUGUGUUUGCUCCUUGCCAACAUGUUAGGCAAGAAUCACCCCUCAAAGUUCUUAAAAGUGAGAGCAGGGGUUACGAAAGUUGGACUUAACAUUUUUUGCAAAGUGACCAAUGAUUCUGCUGCAGUGUGCAUAUUCAAACUCUGAGUCUGAGAUAUUAUUGUUGCGAGUAAUAGCGAGUUAACAGUUGUUGAGAGGAGUCAGAAGUGGUCGGACACAACCUGUGGUGGAGAGAAGCUGCUUGACAUGUGAGGUCACAGCCUGCUGUGAUAGUGCAAGUAGCGCCAGAGGAGACGUCGGUAUUAAUUGAGGAUUUUUGUAAUAAGCCAAUUUGUUGCACUUAGUUGUUUCUCAAGAAUUUUGUCAGAUUUGUGUAUGCAUACAUUGAGAGUAAUAUUCGUAUGUUUGUUGUGGCCAGGGAUGUAUUUAUCAAGUAUAGACAUUGUGGAAUAAUUAAAGUUUGUGUAAAGUUUGUCACUGUUUGAAUAAUCUAUUAUGCGAAUAUAGUAAAUUAAAGUCUUUAUUGGUUA